rnacentral:lncRNA from 1 species
AAAAAACACAACCAUAGAAUAUAUAUAUAUAUAUAUAUAUAUAUAUAUAUAUAUAUAUAUAUAUAUAUAUAUAUAUAUAUAUAUAUAUAUGUUUAUUAAUAAAAUAUCUAAAAGAAAAAGCUAAAACCACUAAAAGAAAAUAAAUCUAUUUAUUUUUUAGGAAAAUGAAAAAUAAUUCUAAGUAAGAAAAAAUAGAAUUAAAUAUAUUUGAAAAAAACAUGGAUAAUAGGAUAGAGAAAAUAUACUCUAACUAGUUAAAUAAAAUAUAAAAAAAACAUAUAGAGAAGGGUAAAAUAUAGUCUCUUGAUGGUAACCAGGUGGCAUUUGCACCAUCUUCCUAUUACCUAUAUCUGCCUCUGGCGUAUAGGAUGGUAUGUAAUUGGGAAGUCUGGCCACUGCGUAGCGUCUGAUGCCGCCUAAAGAGCCGCUAGCCGGCCGCCUAAAUCAUAGUUUAAAAUACUGUGAAAU